UACGUAGGGGGCGAGCGUUGUCCGGAAUCAUUGGGCGUAAAGCGCGUGUAGGCGGUUCAGUAAGUCUGCUGUGAAAGUCCAGGGCUCAACCCUGGGAUGCCGGUGGAUACUGCUGAACUAGAGUGCGGAAGAGGCGAGUGGAAUUCCCGGUGUAGCGGUGAAAUGCGCAGAUAUCGGGAAGAACACCAACGGCGAAGGCAGCUCGCUAGGACGGUACUGACGCUGAGACGCGAAAGCGUGGGGAGCGAACAGG
rnacentral:rRNA from 1 species